GCAUAUGGAGAAUGCCUUGACUCGUAUGAGCGAUGAAGGACGUAGCAGGCUGCGAUAAGCCUCGGGGAGCUGCCAAGCAAGCUUUGAUCCGGGGAUUUCCGAAUGGGGAAACCCUCCUGUUUUUUAGCAGGAAUUACUAUUUGAAUACAUAGAAUAGUAAGGUAAACCUAGUGAACUGAAACAUCUUAGUAGCUAGAGGAAUAGAAAUCAAUAGAGAUUCCGUCAGUAGUGGCGAGCGAAAGCGGAACAGUCUAAACCUGACCGCACCUCAUUGCAUUUGGCGCGGAAAUUUUGAAUUUUAAAUUUUGAAUUUUAAAUCAAUUUUUAAUGAACGAGUUUCUAAUUUAGAAAUUUAAUCAUUGGGAUUUUUUUGGAAAUUGGAAAUUGGGAUUUGGAAAUUCCACCCGAGUGUAGCGAGGUGUGGUUGGGGGUUGCGAGGUAGUCGUACUCGUUUGAUCGUGGUUGUCUUAUAUUUUUUAGUAAAACACUUUGGGAAGAGUGGCCAUAGAAGGUAACAGCCCUGUAUACGAAAAAAGACGAGUUAAUUUUAUACGGCUUGCAUAAAUCACUCUGUGAGAUAUGCGUAGUGAAAGCGAGGCUUAACCGCCGACCAUUGUCGUAUGAAUUAGACCCGAAGCCAGGCGAGCUACGCAUGAGCAGGGUGAACCCCAAGUAACAUUGGGGGGAGGCCCGAACCCACUAAUCGUUUAACGUUAGGGGAUGACUUGUGCGUAGGGGAGAAAUUCCAAUCGAGCUUGGCGAUAGCUGGUUCUCUCCGAAAUAGCUUUAGGGCUAGCGU
rnacentral:rRNA from 1 species